GACGGGUGGCAUUUGGAAUGGGUUAUUUAUAUAAUAAAUCUUUGCUAUUACGCAUAUAGUCUAGUUUUAAAAAGUCUGAUUUAUUAUGUAACACUUGUAUAUAAUACGUGUAAAAAUCAGUUAAACUUUAUUCAGAGAAAGAAAUUUGAGAAAAAUAUUAAAAUGGAAUCUGUCAUAAAACAGGAAGUACCAGUUAGAACCCCUGAACAGACCAGAUCUACUAAUGUGCCUUUGGAACCUGUGCAACAACAGCCACCUAAUAGAAAUACCCAGGACAUACCUUCAGAAUUAGAGAUGGUGGAACAUUUAAACAACAUUAUGAGUACAAGAAUUGAAGAUCUAGCCACCAAGAUAGCGUACAAUGCCCACAUAUUGACAAUACAAAAGAGAAAGUUAGAAGAGGGAAUUAGCUUUAAAAAACAUUUAAAAAUGAGAAAAAGACAAAUGCUAUUAGAAAGAAGAACAAAUGGCAUAUAAUUUGAUCUUUGGAAAUGGACACUAGUUAUAUAAAGAAUUUUAAAUACAAUAAAAGAGUUGU